rnacentral:tRNA from 1 species
GGGAAUAUAGCUCAGCUGGGAGAGCAUCUGCCUUACAAGCAGAGGGUCACAGGUUCGAGUCCUGUUGUUCCCACCA